rnacentral:lncRNA from 1 species
AGAAUGGUCUGUGGUCGUUUCGAAGCGCUCAGAACGUGUAUUGGAUUUGGCGGAGUUGUCCAUAACAUGUUGUGGUUGCUUCACCAUGGCCACCAGGCGAAAUACUUCAACAUUAUUCCAAGCAAAAUAAUGUUGAGCAUCGUGUCUGGUCAUUUGGAACUGGUCACGAUGUAUUGUGGCUGUUUUUUUUUUUCGAUCAUUUGCUAUGAACGAUAUUACGCCCAUGUUUGGGCGUAAUACCGUCCAUAUACCGUGAGUUUUUCUGGAAACCGAACACUGAUUUUUGGCAUCGAGCCAAUUCUGAUGGCUCU